rnacentral:rRNA from 1 species
CGGUGCGAUCAUACCAGCACUAAUGCACCAGAUCCCAUCAGAACUUCGAAAUUAAGCGUACUUGGGUGAGAGUAUUACUUGGAUGGGUGACUUUUUAGGAAGUCCUCGUGUUGCACCCC